rnacentral:lncRNA from 1 species
GGCAGCAUUAGGUGAGCUUGUCCUGCUGCAAGUGGUGGCUCACAUCAAACAUUUUGUUUAUGUGCAUCAUUUUGAAGCUUGGAUUUGUUUUGUUUCUUUUUCUGAAACCAGAAGGAUGAGGAUAGCAACUGAAUAGAAUUUUCUUUUGUGAUAACUACAUUUUGCAAUAAUGAGAUUCUGGUAAAACAUAUAAAAAAGACCGUGGUGACUGUCAGCCUGAGUUAGAUCUGGACAAACGGCAUUCAGCCCCUGGGAUGGGAUAAAUUCCUCUAAAGAAGGCUCUGUCUCUCUGAAGAAGAAACAGACACGUGCAGUGGUUUAAGCCUUAUUCUCUGCUGAGUCCUGUUUACUCCAGCAUUCUGCUCUUCCCUGUUACAGAAAAUUGCAAAGCAGAAGUGAAGGUAGUGCAUCCAGUCUGGCUGGGAGAAGGCCCUAAAAGAGCCAAGCACUGGGGAGGAUGAGAAGAGAGAAGUCAGUGGGAUUGGGAAAGAAUUCCUUCAAUCAAACAAUCUCAGCUGACACCAGAGAAGGGCAACAGAGCUGGGGAAGGCUCUGGAGCAUAAGACUGAUGAGGAGCAGCUGAGGGAGCUGUGGGUGUUUUUUUUGGAGAAAAACAGGCUCAGGAUGGACUUUCUUGCUCUCUCAAACUACCUGAAGGAGGCUGUAACCAGGUGGAGGUUGGCCUCUUACUCCAAGUAACAAUCAUUAGGACAAGAGGAAACAGCCUCAAGUUACACCAGGGGAGGUUUGGAUUGGAUAUUAGGGAAAAUUUCUUCACCAAAAGUUGUCAAGCACUGGAACAAGAUGUCCAUGGAAAUAGCGGAACCACCAACCCUCAAGGUAUUUAAAAAUUGUAUCGAUGUGGUCCUUGGGAACAUGGUUUAGUGUUUGAAUUGGCAGUGCUGGGUCAAUAGCUGGACUCAAUGAUCUUAAAGGUCCUUUUCAAUGUAAAUGAUUCUAUGAUUUGAUGUACAUUAAAUUCAGUGAGGCUGCUCCAGAUCAGCACAGAUUUUAAUCAGGCUGACAGAGUGUGUCUUGUUGAGUACAGGCUCCCAUUUACAGCCAGCUAUACACCUGAACUGUUCCAAUGAAGCUGCUGAGAGCUGAUGUUUGAGCAGGGUCCAUCUUCAUUCUGCUCACAGCUGUCAUUAGCAUUUCCAGGUUUAUUCACAGCAUACCCACAGUCCCAGGCUCUACUUGUGAAACUAAUGACAUGCUAAUCAAUGCUGUUCUGUGCAUGUUGUUUAGCAUGCCUGGCAGGGUUAUAUAUUUGAAAAAGCAACAUGCUGGAGAAGGAAAACACCUUGUAUAACUUCCUCUUCUGAUGUUCAGGUGGUACCUGUUUUGAAGCAUGUAGGGAGUUAAAUCUUCUGUCUGCAACAUCCAACUUAUGAAAGGAGAGUUUUGACCUAAUCAUGCUAAUGAUGCCUGCCAUGCCAGUGUUUUGCUCAGAAUCAAAGAAAUUGAAAUAGUGAAGUUUUAAAAUAGCUUGACACAAAUCAGCAUACAUAACACAGGUGGCAAAAGGCCUGCAAGGGAUGAAAUGGGGAGGAAGUAUAAAGAGACUUAGCUCACACAGUUUAAAUGAAGGGAAGGUGAGGUUGAGGGAAAAUGAAAAUCUGAGACAAUUUUUCAAGAGAAAAUUAGAUAAGGGCAAGAGCAAUCUGUUCCAGGCUGCCCUGAAAUAUAUUCCAGAAAGUUUUUGCCUUAUAUUUGGUGAGGAAGCUUUCAUAAAAGGGAUAAUUUUCCACUGAAAACCAUUUAAUCAUCAAAAGGCACCCAACAAAACUCCCAGGCUACUCUUGGUUGUGAGUGAGCUGUUCUUAUUGCUGAGCACUCAAAGGGCUUUAGCAAAUGUCAUCAACAAAAUUGUAUAGGAUCAAUACCCUCAAGAAAGCGAGUGCUUAUAGUGAGAAUGAAAACACAUCCAACUCUUAGCCAAUACCAGGAAUAUCUCUGGUCUUCCACAGCUGGAAGUAUGGAAACUUUAUCAGAUUGAAGAUGAAGGUUUUGGAUUAGUAAAAAACCCAUCUCCUCCAAUAUGAAGACCAAAGCAAUACAUAAAACAUAUAGGAUGUCUUCUUCAGACAUUAUGACCCACAUAAGGAGAUCGAGGUGAAAAACCCACCUUCAGAGGGGAAAAAUAAGGCUGUACUUGGUGAGAUGGAAAAGGUCCUCUAGUUUCAGCUGCUAACACUGUUAAUGAGAUUUCCUUUGGAAACUCUUAUUAUACAUAUAUAUAUUUACAGGAAACAGUGAACUCAAAUGAUUUAACAAGGCUUCAAGCUGGAAUAGGUGGAAAAAUUGCUGCCUCUUCCCUCCUAAGACAGAUCAAAGGGAAAGGCUCAGCACCUGGCACAGGGAGUGACUAAGAGAUGCCAAUCUUGCUUUCUCAGAUUUUUUUAUGCUGCUAUUUUCUCUGUGCAGGAGAGACCUUAAACACUUAGAAAUAGGAAAGAAAUGCAAUGGGAAGCCUGGCCCCUGCACUGAUGGAUGCAGCUGAGCUGUAGCACAGGGAGAUCUCUAUUUUCCCAGGGAGGGAACAUGCUUCCUCUGUAAAUGGUUCUAAUUAUACUCUAAUUACUGUACCUGGAGGAAAUCCUUCAGGUGCUUUGCACUGAGGUGUCACCUGUAAAUGUUGAUAAACAGCUGCAAAUUGUUGUCAGUCAUUAGGCUUCUGAUGAAAAAGUCACCAGCCAGCUCCACCACUUUAACAGCCCCUUGGUUUCCUAGUGUUGUGGUUUAAUUUGGAUAUUGACCAAUUGAAGGUGGACACGCCUCUGAGAACACAGAGGGGUUAAAAGCAGAAUUCCCAGGAGAACUCGCUCUCUUUGGUUCCGGUCAGCGGUCAGUGCAGGACUCUCCCCUGCCCGGCCACGAGCUGGGUGGGGGAGGGGAGAAGCCAUGUGGCCUUCGGAGGUAGGCCCAAGGGUGGAGGGACUGGAACCGGGCUGGCCCCCUGCAGAUGGAAGGGUGGAGAAAAUCUGGGAUGUCUCCGUUCCCCCCCAGAGUCUCUCUCUGGAGAGAGAAAAAGACAGCGGUGGUUUUAUCAGCAGUUCCCUGCGGGGAAGGAGAAGAGCGGGGGGGCCUGUGGGAGCUGGAGCCUGGGCAGCAAGCCAUCCUUGGGAGUUGGGACUUUUAACCCUUCCUGAGGAAUGAAAGCUUUGUGAAAUUUUUCUCCUCCUUGGUUUGAAAGAGAGGAAGAGAGACAGCUUGGACCCUGGGAUGUUAGAAGGAGAAAUUCUAGGUGGGAGGAGAUGAUGGAGUGGCUUUUGGCUGAACCGAUCUUCUCCUCCAAGAGAGACGGUAUUUUAGGAGGAUGCUGGUGAGCCAAAGAGACCAUGCUUCAGCUGGGAAAAGACAGAAGUGGAGCGAACAGAGAAAAGUUAGGGAGGUUUGUGGUGGUGCCCCCUGUCUUCAGAGAGGAAGAAGAGAAGAAGAUCUCUAUUCUUGGACCCUCGGCCCCAGGGGAAAAUGGGGGGGACUGUGGUCCCAAAAAUGAAAAACUGAACUGUUGUUUUUUUCCCCUCUUGGCAGGGCACCCUUGAAAGGAAAAAUCCUAAAAGCAGUCUGUCCAUCCAUGCAUUGGUGAUGAGAGCACUGUGCAUGGAAAGGAGAGGGUCACCAUUGGCAAACUUUUUCUCCAGGCGGUGCCAUGUGGUGACACGGAAGCACAGGAUGUGGCAGCUGUGUUUCUUGGGGGGUCUGUGGCACAAGAGAGACUCCUCUCUCCCUCGAUGGACUGAGUAUUGAUUGUCUAGAGGGUGGAAACCUGAUUGGGGUCCAGGUUGUGUCUCACUGUGGUUUGUUGGAGUUGGGUGGUGGGAGGAGGAAUGCUUUGGAAGGUUUUAAUUUUGAAUUUUGUGGGGGUUUUUUUUAAUCUUCUUUUUCCUUUUAUAGUGGUAUAGUAGUAGUAGCUUAAUAAAGUUUUUUCCCUUGUUAUUAAGCUUGGGCCUGCUUUUGCUCUGUUUUUGAUCGCAUUUCACAGCAUUCAAUUGAGAGGUUGCAUUUUCAUGGGGGCGCUGGCAUUGUGCCAGUGUCAAACCAUGACACUUCACUGACUUUUCUUUGUUCUGCAGUUUAUAGAUUAGUUUAUAGACAUAGGAUUAGAUCAGCAUCUCUAUCUGAGAGGAGAGGUUGUGGCAUACUCAGGUGCUUCAGACAGGGGUGUGCAAAUAGGGUAAGACUGGUGAGGCCCUGGCACAGGCUGCCUGGAAAAGUUGUGGAUGCCUCAUCCCUGGAAGUGUUCCAGUUGGAUGAGGUUUUUACCUCAUCUACUGGAAGUUGUCCCUGCCCAUGGCAGGGGGUUGGAACGAGGUGAUCUUUAUGGUCCUUUCCAAGCCAAGCCCCUCUAUGAUUCCGUGGUGAUACAGUGAGCAUGAUCUUAAAUGGAUGACAGCUGAAUUUGUGGGUUCAGCUGGGACAUCACCUGCUCUGCCACCUUUCCCACAGAGGUGGUCAUUUGGGUUAAGAUGGAGACCAGAUAAGUAGAAACUAUAAAGUUAAAGUGUCCACCAUGAAUCCUGAGUCCCCUGGCUCUCUGCCGUGGGAGCUUUGUUGCUCAGUUUUUACUCCCAUUAACAAGAUUAUAAGAUACUACAAAUGUGUGAGACAUAUCAGUUGUAGGUAGGACAUUCUCUUGACAAGUCUUAAUGUUUGAUGAAAAGUCCGGAAUCAGGCAGUUUUUCACCCAUUUUGCUGCCACAUGUAUGAAAGAUAUGAAAUCACAUCAGGACUCGGUGCAGUAUCUGUUAACCAACUUUGAUCCUGGAGAAGGAGGAGCUAGGAUGAAGACAUAUCCUGAGGUCAUGGUGUAGCACUGAUGGUACAGAAUCAGUUCUAAACCAACCCUCCAAUCCUUGAUUUAUCCACUGGAGAAUAUUUGAGAAAAUAAUUUGGCUGUAAAAAAAAAAAAAGUCUUAAGUGUCAAAUAUUAGUUCUCAUGUUGCUGUGGGACUUGGGUCUAGUAUGAGCCCUUGGUUUUUUAUUUGCAUGCCAAAGAGACACAGGACAUGUGUAGGUGGAAUAUUCUUGGAUGUUCUGGUUUUUCAGGAAUAUGUUUUUGCUUUGGGAAGACCUGGUAUGGCUCAUGUUAAAUCACAAGAAUUCAUCAAUGCUAAAACAUUCAAUUUGGCAAGGAGCUCUGGAAGACUGUCAUGCUGGAGACCUGGAGGAGUAACUUUCUAGGUCUUUCCAUUUAAGUGCACCUGCAAACAUGAUUAAAUCUAUUUGCUGAAGGCCUAGAGACAUCAGAUUGGUGUGGCACUGAAAAUACUCUCCAGUUCAGGUUGUGUGACUGAAUGCUUACAGAAUAAAUGUCUUGAAGAUAGGAGGGUGAACAUACAAUGAAAUAUUGGAAUUUUUUAAACUAGUUAUGCACAGUCCAGUGCAAAAAUGUUCAUUAAAAAUAGAGCAAAGUCCUGGGAUCAUUAUUGUUCUUUCAUUUGUGAGAACAGCCCCUGUACCAUUCAAUAGAAAUUGCCAUAAAAACCAGAUAAUUUUUCAGUUUUCAGAAUAUUUCUCUCAAUGUAGGCUUUGUUCAGAUAUUAAAAUAUUUAAGCCAUCUCUAAGUGUGACUGGGAAGAUUUUUCUGCCCACUACAGUGAAUGGAUCCUAAGGAGGAGGUGGUGAGGCUGCACUGUGCUGUGCACACACCAUUGCAGGCUGCACCACCCUCCCCAAUCCCUCACUAGGAAACACCCCUUUUUCUACACCAGAGGUAAAAAGAAGACCUAAAACCUUACCAGAAAUCAACCUCUUUUUAUACCUCCACACACCCAUUUAGCAGCAGCACCACCAUGGACAUGAUUCUGGGAAGACACAGAGAGGCAGGAAAAUCCAAAUGAGGGUAAUCACUGGGUUGUGCAGCCUUCAGAACCAGAAAAACCACCUAACAUCAGGUUUUUAAAGAGGAAGGGGAGCAGAAAGCCACAUACAGGGCAUCCUCCAGUGCACCAGAACCUCUGGCUGGUCAGUCUGCACAACAACAGCGCAUGCAGAGCACUGAGCCACAGUGAACAUCCUCACACAGAGACAACAACGCUCUGUAGAAUGCAUAUAAAAUCAUGUGUACACAGAAAGACCUGGGAAGUCAGGGGAGAGCAGGAAGCAGGAAGACAGAGCAGCAAUAAUUGGUUUAAUCCAGCCAAGGACUCGGCUGCCAGUUGGCACCGCUGGCACUCAGGGCACUGUCAGCGCCCGGCGGAUUAAGCAGCAGAGCUCAGAUUGGUUUCUGCUGUAGGAGGCAAUUUCACACUGGUGAAGGGCAUUUACUUUGAAGCAAAAGCCUUGCUGUGUACUCUGUGUUUUUGUUGAAAUAACAACAAACUGGCUUUAGAUAUACUCCAGGGUAGCUGACAACAGAGUUUGACCUGACUUCAACAAAACUACAUCUUAUUAAAGGGGAAGAGAUGCUAUUCACAAGGAGGGAGAGCUCACUGUGCCUGUUUUUGUACAGCUGUUAAGGCAAGAGUGUUCCUGAUCCAUGACCAGAGCUCCUGGGCAUUACAAAAUACUAAUUAUAAAAUCCAUCUGUGUGACAAGUCUAAAACCACAAGCUGAAGCCCUUCUCAGUAAUUUUCUCACAUUUGGAAUGAACCACAGACAGUCCGAAACAGAAAAUUGUAAAGGUCCUGCAAAGCUAUCUGAAGUCAAGUUUUGGGUAAGUGUUACAGGACUUGCAGAAAUAUUUGUAAGAUUUGCUGUAAUUCAGCAAAAUAAUUGCUUAUGCUUUGCUGUGUUGUAACAACUAGUUAAUAAAAUUAAUUGGUUUCUUUUCAAAAGACUAAGAAAGAAAUGUAGAUUGGCCAAAGAUUUGCUCUGGGUGUAAACAUGAUGGAAAGAUAAGUGGAUGAGUUGCUCAGAGCUGUGCUUUUUCCCAGCCUCUGAUCUGGACCUUGUCUGUACAAGACCCUGCAUAGGAUCAUUGCCAGCUGGGAGCACCAUGUGUUGUGUGGCUAUAGAGAGUGUGCAAGAGGUUUUGUCAAGACUUUUAAAUGUUUUGUUGUUUAUGAUUCUUUUUUUCUGUUUUGCUUUUAAUGAAAACCACAAUUCUGAAAGUUAUAUUCUCCUCCAUCUGUCCCUUUUUUUCUGAAGAAAUGAGAUUAUGACAUAGAUAUUCUCAAGUUUAGGAAUUUGUUUCUGUUGCAUGUUAUACAGGGGCAUCCUUUGAGCCUUAUUUUGCUAUUCUUGUGGGGAAAAAAAAAAAAAAAAAGAAGCUGCUCUAAUCUUUCUAUCCAGAAAGUAGUUUCCUUCAGUAAAAAAUAUUCCUCUA